rnacentral:lncRNA from 1 species
AACGACGCCGUUACGAUCGCUGAGGUUAAACUAUACGGCGACGUCGUUCUCCGUUACGUUAGUUACAAAGUAGCAACCGUUUUCCUUCCAAGAUUCGAAACUGUGGAUGACACGUCGUCGUUUCCACUAGACUACGGUAUACGCCGCCUCGACCACGCGGUUGGAAACGUCCCCGAGCUCGGUCCAGCGCUAACUUACCUCUCAAGGCUCACCGGCUUCCACCAGUUCGCGGAGUUCACAGCGGACGACGUGGGAACAGCCGAGAGCGGUUUGAACUCGGCGGUUCUGGCUAACAACGACGAGACGGUUCUUCUGCCGGUCAACGAGCCGGUUCACGGGACGAAGAGGAAGAGUCAGAUCCAGACGUAUCUGGAGCACAACGAAGGCGCGGGGGUGCAGCAUCUGGCGCUGAUGAGCGAAGACAUAUUCAGGACUCUGAGGGAGAUGAGGAAGAGGAGCGGCGUUGGAGGGUUCGACUUCAUGCCUUCUCCUCCGCCUACUUACUACAAGAAUCUCAAGAACCGUGUGGGAGAUGUGCUUAGCGAGGAGCAGAUUGAGGAGUGUGAGGAGUUGGGGAUUCUUGUGGAUAGAGAUGAUCAAGGGACGUUGCUUCAGAUCUUCACUAAGCCACUUGGUGACAGGUAUAUUACAAAACUUUAAAUGUUUUCUCUUUAUCAGGUUCUUCAGAAAGCUAAGAAUCUGAUCUCUUUGUGAAUAGGCCGACGAUAUUUAUAGAGAUAAUACAGAGGAUAGGAUGCAUGAAGAAAGAUGAGGAAGGGAGAGUUUACCAGAGUGGAGGAUGUGGUGGCUUUGGUAAAGGCAACUUCUCUGAGCUUUUCAAGUCUAUUGAAGAGUAUGAGAAGACUCUUGAAGCCAAGCAGCUUGUGGGGUGAGUAAGAAGAAGAACUAAACUAAAAGGGUUGUAAUUGAUAUGUAAAACUGUUUUAUGUUAUACUAUAAAAUAGUAAACGAUGAUUACAGAAAUGUCUUCCCAUUUUUAGGUUCAGUAACAAUGUAUAAACUAAUGAAAAAUGUGUAAGCAAACACCCAAUAAAGAAGACUACAAAACUGUGAAAUGGACCAAACACACAGAGGAGUUAAAAGAUUCUAAGUUGAAUCGAACCCUCUUGGAGUGGUAAAUGUAGCAGACGACGGCUGCUCCGGCCACUGCAACCGCAACAGCCGCCAUAGCUCCACCAGAACCAGUAGUCAUACUAGUAGGGGACCGUGAAUUAAGCACAAUGCCAUUAAGUGGUUCUUCGAUCCAAUGAUUAUCUUCUCAGACUAAUCAAUCUGUCUCUAUAACUCCACAGUCUCUGAUUCCAUCGCCACCAUUUUAUUCUCUGACUCUCUCAAUGAAUCCUCCACAACCUUCUUAUCUGUUUUCCCUUCUGCAACGUUCGAUUCCAAACCAUUGAUCUUCUACUUCUACUUCAACUCACUCACUUCCUUCUCCUUGUUAUCAAUAUUAUCUCUCAUCUUCGUGUUCCUCUCCUCCAACUCUUUAACCUCCAGAUACCAAACUUGGUCUCCAACUCCUUCAUUCUCUUCUCGUUCUCCUCCUUUACACUUAUAAAACCAGUCACCUCCUUCUCCAACUUCUCAAUCCCAUCCCUUUUCUGAGAAACCUCAGACCGGAGCUUCUCUCCCCCCCCCCCCCCUCACCCCCCCCANNNNNNNNNNNNNNNNNNNNNNNNNNNNNNNNNNNNNNNNNNNNCUUUGUUACUGUAUCGUCAUUUUGCUUUGUUACUACGUUCUUUACAGGCAGCAAAUGUGGCACACUCCCUCUUCUGUACGUGCCACAAAUUCAAUUUGCAAAUCGAAAAGGCCUCUGUUCUUCUUCUGCUUGCAGAGAUCCAUAAGGUAUGUCAUGGCACAAGAACUUGGUAACUUGAAAGCGCACUGAUUGGAAUCUUAUAUUUCAUUGAAUAUUUGUCACCUUACGACCUUGCAGUAGUAACAUUUCUCUAGGUUUUGUUUUCCUCCCAUGCAUGCACUUCUUCUGAAUGUUCUGUGUCUCUGCUGCUAAGUCAUUUCUUAUCGUUAUUUUCAAUUCUGUAUAAGUUUUCUGACCCGCCUUUACCUUCCAAUUCCCUUUUCUCUGGUUCUCAGAAGUCAGGAAAUGCAGUCCUGGGUCUUCCGUAUGCGCUGGCAAGCAUCUCUUUUUGCCAGUCAUUCAAUUUGGAUCUUCUCAAAGCAUCAGCUACUCUCACGCUGGCCGAGCUUUGGCUUGGUCUUGGAUCAAAUCAUGCCAAACGGGCGUUAGACCUUUUGCAUGGGGCUUUCCCUAUGAUUCUCGGCCAAGGAGGCCUGGAGUUGCGUGCUAGAGCAUACAUCUUUGAAGCAAACUGCUAUCUGUCUGAUCCAAGCUUUUCAGGUACCUUUUGUUGUCUUUGUACUGCUUUGGCUAUAGUUCAUGCUCUUGGUUGCAUGAUCAUAAUUUUUGUAUGAAUUGGCUGUGAAUGUAUUCCGCCAGUUUCCACAGAUUCUGACACAGUCCUGAAUUCUCUAAGGCAAGCUUCAGAUGAGCUUCAAGCUUUGGAGGUAACUUAUGCCAAUAAGAAUGCUAUGUAUCUUUUGUUUCGGAAACAAGCUCGAACUCUGUUCUAUCGCUAUAUUGCAUAAAAAAUGCUAUGGUGCUAUUGGUUUAAGAUAAACUAGAACUAUCUUCGGUUUAGCUCAUCGAUACAUAAUUUCUUUUGGAUUCUAGUAUCGUGGUUUACCAUCUGUUUCACUUGCUAAUCAUUAUGUUUGUUGUGCAGUACCAUGAAUUGGCAGCUGAAGCUUUAUAUUUAAUGGCGAUGGUAUACGACCAGGUGGGACAGCUUGAGCAGAGGGAAGAAGCUGCGACUUUGUUUAAGAAGCAUAUAACAGCUCUCGAGAACCCUCAAGACGAGGAGCCAAACAUGGCAUGAGAGUUCGUGACCUUAUUUAAUAAGCUUAUUGUGGAAAACUUGUAACUUAUGUUGUAACAUGUUCCUUAAGACUCUUUCUAGUGAUUUGUAGGUUUAUUUCAUGAUCUAGAGUAAGUUGCAACCUUGCAUAACUCUGAAAAUGUAGGAAACUCUAGAAGCCAACAAGGUGAUUUGAGAAAUUUUCUUAUGUAAUACGUAACAUGAUCUCUGUUUCUUUACGUAGUUGAUCAAAUCGCUGAAUCUGCCUCAUCACCAAUACUCAUCCAUGUGGUUCGGAUAACGUUCCAUCAUCGUGUGAAAAUGGUUGAUACGUCUUACACGUCAGAACUUGGUGACCAUAGAUAGACAAGGAGAAAGAACGAACCAAUCAGCAAAGGUCAAGCAAAUUAGAGAGAGAUCCAUCACGUAAAGCUUCGUUUCUAAUGAAAAUCACGACCGUACACGUGUAUCUUCCACGUCCAACAAUAGUCAACAUCUGUGAGUUUUAAGACCAGAGAUAACGUCUGAAUAAACUCAUAUUAAAACAAAACAAAAUCCCUUUAUAUGUGUCCGUGUCCAUAGCUCGACGAACCACUCGCACAGUUCCGUAAGCAGAGUCUAAGGUGUAAAACAUCCAUGGGGCACGAAAACGCAGCCGUUUCAGAGAACCAGCAUCACGACGAAGCAGCUGCUACCUCUGCGUCCCCGGGGUUUAAGCUCGUCGGAUUCUCCAAGUUCGUGAGGAAGAAUCCAAAGUCCGACAAGUUCAAAGUCAAGCGCUUCCACCACAUCGAGUUCUGGUGCGGCGACGCCACCAACGUCGCACGCCGCUUCUCGUGGGGACUCGGCAUGAGAUUCUCCGCCAAAUCCGAUCUCUCCACCGGAAACAUGGUUCACGCCUCCUACCUCCUCACCUCCGGCGACCUCCGAUUCCUCUUCACCGCUCCCUACUCUCCAUCUAUCUCCGCCGGCGAGAAUCCACCGACCACCACAGCCUCCAUCCCAUCUUUCGACGACGUCACCUACCGCUCCUUCUUCUCUUCACACGGACUAGGCGUAAGAGCUGUCGCUGUUGAAGUAGAAGACGCAGAGUCAGCCUUCUUCGUUAGCGUCUCAAACGGCGCCGUUCCUUCAUCCCCUCCUAUCGUCCUAAACGACGCCGUUACGAUCGCUGAGGUUAAACUAUACGGCGACGUCGUUCUCCGUUACGUUAGUUACAAAGUAGCAACCGUUUUCCUUCCAAGAUUCGAAACUGUGGAUGACACGUCGUCGUUUCCACUAGACUACGGUAUACGCCGCCUCGACCACGCGGUUGGAAACGUCCCCGAGCUCGGUCCAGCGCUAACUUACCUCUCAAGGCUCACCGGCUUCCACCAGUUCGCGGAGUUCACAGCGGACGACGUGGGAACAGCCGAGAGCGGUUUGAACUCGGCGGUUCUGGCUAACAACGACGAGACGGUUCUUCUGCCGGUCAACGAGCCGGUUCACGGGACGAAGAGG